UCUCUCGGCGCUCGUUGGUAACCGCAGCGCAGGCGCAGUAGCUGCCGGUGCCGCCAUUGCUGUCCUGUCAGGGCGAGGAUCCCGGGAGGGAGAAGCCGGUAGAAGCGGCACCUGAGUUGCAGUUUGUAAAGAUGGAGUUUCAAGCAGUGGUGAUGGCGGCAGGUGGGGGAUCCCGAAUGAUGGACCUAACUUCCAGCAUCCCUAAGCCCCUCCUGCCAGUAGGCAACAAACCUUUAAUCUGGUACCCAUUAAAUUUGUUAGAGCGAAGCGGAUUUGAAGAGGUCAUUGUGGUUACAACCAAAGAAGUCCAGAAGCUACUAAACCUAGACACAAAGAUGAAAUUAGAUAUAGUGUGUAUCCCUGAUGAUGCAGACAUGGGUACUGCAGACUCACUAAGGCAUGUUCAUCAGAAAAUUAAGACUGAUGUCUUGGUACUAAGCUGUGAUCUGAUCACAGAUGUUGCUUUACAUGAGGUUGUGGAUUUGUUUCGAGCCCAUGAUGCCACACUCUCCAUGUUGAUGAAAAAAGCUCAUGAACCCACAGAAAUGGUACCAGGACAGAAAGGGAAAAAAAAGCCAGUGGAGCAGCGUGACUUCAUUGGAGUGGAUGACACAGGAAAGCGGUUGCUCUUCAUGGCUAAUGAAGCUGACUUGGAUGAAGAACUUGUCAUUAAGAGAUCCCUCCUUCAGAAGCAUCCUCGAAUGCACAUCAGGACAGGGCUGGCGGAUGCCCAUCUAUACUGCCUGAAGAAAUACGUGGUGGACUUCCUUGCAGAAAACAGGUCAUUAACAUCUAUUCGAAGUGAACUGAUUCCAUAUCUAGUUAGGAAACAGUUUUCCUCUCCUGCAUCAUUACGACAAGGACAGGACAACAAAGAGCAGGAUCAAAAGAAGGAUCAAAAGUCAUUAGACAUCUUCAGUUAUGUGAAGAGUGAUAGCUUGCUGGAAUUUGCUCCUGAUAAAUCAUGUUGGAAUAGUCACAGCGCAGAUCUGAAUGAAGCCUUCCACGGAGGAAAAGUACGUUGCUAUGUCCAUAUCAUGAAAGAGGGGCUCUGCUACCGAGUGAACACUCUUGGGUUAUACAUUGAAGCAAACAGACAGGUUCCUAAGCUGUUACCUGCUCUUGUGUGUCCAGAAGAACCAUUGGUUCACGUGUUCGCUCAAGUCACCGACAGAGGCCUGGUUGGAUCUGACAGCAUCAUUGGUUCAUCCACGCAGGUUGGAGAGAAGACAUCCAUUAAACACUCCAUCAUCGGCUCCACGUGCACCAUAAAAGACAGAGUUAAAAUAACUAACUGCAUCAUCAUGAACUCUGUCACAAUCGAGGAAGGGUGCAGCCUCCAGAGCUGCCUCAUCUGUCAUAACGCCGUGAUAGAGAAGGGAGCUGACCUCCGGGACUGUUUGAUUGGAAGCAGCCAGCGUCUGGAACCCAAAUCCAAACACGUUAACGAAGUCAUUGUGGGCAGCGAACAGCUGAUGGAAAUCUAACAUGCCGGUUGUAAAGAUGCCUUUAAGGAAGCCAGAGCCCGCACCUUCGGAAGACCCUUCGUCUGGAGCAGGCCUGGCAGAGCUUACCCUGUCAUCGCUCCUUUCCCGUGCAACUUGGUGUUUGCUGUGAGAUAAAAGUAGAUUGCAGAGCAAGAUUUCACAGCCCAAAUUAUCAAAGCGAAGAGUCCCUCUUGAAGUGACGUGUGUGGCAGUAAUGCCGAAGAGUGUUUCAGAAGAGUAGUUCCUUCACUACCCCCCAGGCAGCACCGGGAAUUAACCCUUGCUGACCUGCCGUGGACUUCGUGGACCAGAUGAAUCUACGAAACCAGCGAUCAGGGUGACAUUUUCAAAAGUGCCUCAGUGACUACGCGCCUUGAUGAGUUUUGAAAAUAGGACUUAGGCUCCUAAGUCACUGACGUGCUUUGGAAAGUAUUACCCCAGAGCUUCAUCGCAUGGCUCUCUGGGAGUGCGAAUGUGACUCUUCCAGACAGUGCACAGCCCCAUACAUGCAGCUCGUCUCACUGUUGAUCUCCCAUGCUGUAACAAUUGAGCAAGCUGGUGUCUCUUACCCUUUGCAAUGCGCCCAUCCCUGGGGUCUUGAGGCACCCUGACCGUGAUGGACAAAGCAGCGUACCUUUGAAAGGCUCAGACCUGCCAACCCUCUGUAGAUGCUGGCACUUUCGGAGCAGGCUUGUCCUUGAGCAUUUCCAAGGGGACACAGAGCUGGCGGUUGGUGUCACUGUUGUGAGAAGACUCAUGAAACAGGCAAGUCCUGCAGGACGCCCAGAAUGCAGCAAAG